AACCACAAAAAGAUGUGUUUUAGGAUUAUAUCGUACAACAUAAAGAGUAUACCGUUACAUUAGAAGUUGUUUUUUUAAAACAAUGCAAAUAAAAUAAAAAUAUGUAUUCGAGAUUCAAACCCGUAACCAAUCGGUUAGUACGUCUUGUGAAAACCGCUGCUUAUUGCACUAGAGUCUUUACAGCACGCGUAAUCAUUUAUUUGCUAGCAUAUUGAACUGUUGGUAAGUUUUUAAUUAUUUCGGCCACAUAUUAAU